CAGUAAUUAGUACCUAGAUGGCUGUCUCUCUUUCUGAUCUUCGAUACAAAGUUCAUCGCAUCUCCGUGACGAUCUAUUCGAUGUAAUCUUUUUGUGUGGUGCGUUUGUUGGGAUCUCAUGAAUUGUCGGUUUAUGUUUAGAUUAUUCAUGAGCUUAUAUUGAGUUCCUUGAUGUUCUUUCAUAUAUAUGCAUGAUUAUGGUAGCUUCUAAUUCUCUAUGAUCUAUUGAUUUGGUUUGGCUAACUAUAUUGAUUUACCUUCAGUGAGAGAGGUGUGUUGUAGUGGGUUCAAUCUUGUGGUGCUCUAUAUCCUAGUGAGAAAGUAGGGGACAAGACACGUAUUUGUAUUGCUUCCACUAAGAAUAAAUGAUGGGGUUGAUUCGUAUUAAUUAAAUUUCUUUGUCUACAUCAUGUAAGUGUUAUCCAAGCAUUACUCUGUUAUACUUAAUACUCUAGAUGCAUGCUAGAUAG
rnacentral:lncRNA from 1 species